GAUGAACGCUGGCGGCGUGCUUAACACAUGCAAGUCGAACGGAAAGGCCCCUGAUUGCAGGGGUACUCGAGUGGCGAACGGGUGGGUAACACGUGGGUGAUCUGCCCUGCACUUCGGGAUAAGCCUGGGAAACUGGGUCUAAUACCGGAUAGGACCACAUUCUGGAUGGUGUGGUGGAAAGUUUUUCGGUGUGGGAUGAGCUCGCGGCCUAUCAGCUUGUUGGUGGGGUAAUGGCCUACCAAGGCGUCGACGGGUAGCCGGCCUGAGAGGGUGUACGGCCACAUUGGGACUGAGAUACGGCCCAGACUCCUGCGGGAGGCAGCAGUGGGGAAUAUUGCACAAUGGGCGCAAGCCUGAUGCAGCGACGCCGCGUGGGGGAUGACGGCCUUCGGGUUGUAAACUCCUUUCGCUAGGGACGAAGCGCAAGUGACGGUACCUGGAGAAGAAGCACCGGCUAACUACGUG
rnacentral:rRNA from 1 species